rnacentral:rRNA from 1 species
GAUGAACGCUGGCGGUGUGCUUAACACAUGCAAGUCGAACGGACUCUUCGGAGUUAGUGGCGGACGGGUGAGUAACGCGUGAGAAUCUGGCUUUGGGUUCGGGACAACCACUGGAAACGGUGGCUAAUACCGGAUGUGCCGAGAGGUAAAAGAGAAAUUGCCUGAAGAUGAGCUCGCGUCUGAUUAGCUAGUUGGUGAGGUAAAGGCUCACCAAGGCAGCGAUCAGUAGCUGGUCUGAGAGGAUGACCAGCCACACUGGGACUGAGACACGGCCCAGACUCCUACGGGAGGCAGCAGUGGGGAAUUUUCCGCAAUGGGCGAAAGCCUGACGGAGCAAUACCGCGUGAGGGAAGAAGGCUCUUGGGUUGUAAACCUCUUUUCUUAGGGAAGAACAAAAUGACGGUACCUAAGGAAUCAGCAUCGGCUAACUCCGUG